UGGGGAAUAUUGGACAAUGGGCGCAAGCCUGAUCCAGCCAUGCCGCGUGAGUGAUGAAGGCCUUAGGGUUGUAAUGCUCUUUUUGGCGGGGACGAUAAUGACGGUACCCGCAGAAUAAGCCCCGGCUAACUUCGUGCCAGCAGCCGCGGUAAUACGAAGGGGGCUAGCGUUGUUCGGAAUUACUGGGCGUAAAGCGCACGUAGGCGGAUCAGCAAGUCAGGGGUGAAAUCCCGGGGCUCAACCUCGGAACUGCCUCUGAUACUGCUAGUCUAGAGUCCGGAAGAGGUGGGUGGAAUUCCUAGUGUAGAGGUGAAAUUCGCAGAUAUUAGGAAGAACACCGGUGGCGAAGGCGGCCCACUGGUCCGGUACUGACGCUGAGGUGCGAAAGCGUGGGGAGCAAACAGGAUUAGAUACCCGGGUAGUCCCUGAGCGGGCUGGCAAGGCGCAU
rnacentral:rRNA from 1 species